rfam:Nicotiana sylvestris Nsyl_contig91596, whole genome shotgun sequence.
ACGAGCCACAUGCAGGGAAACUUGCACGUGCGGUUCUGGUCGGGCUUUCUUGAGGUAUCUAAUAACCUUGCUUCUGUAGCGACUACCU